GUCAGAGUUUGAUCCUGGCUCAGAUUGAACGCUGGCGGCAGGCCUAACACAUGCAGUCGAGCGGCAGCGGGAAAGUAGCUUGCUACUUUUGCCGGCGAGCGGCGGACGGGUGAGUAAUGCCUGGGGAUCUGCCCAGUCGAGGGGGAUAACUACUGGAAACGGUAGCUAAUACCGCAUACGCCCUACGGGGGAAAGCAGGGGACCUUCGGGCCUUGCGCGAUUGGAUGAACCCAGGUGGGAUU
rnacentral:rRNA from 1 species